rnacentral:rRNA from 1 species
CAUGAAGCUGGAAUUGCUAGUAAUCAUAGGUCAGCAUACUAUGGUGAAUACGUUCCCGGGCCUUGUACACACCGCCCGUCACACCAUGAGAGUUGAGAAUACCCGAAGUCCAUGUCAAAGUGGCCGAAGGUAGGCUUGAUGAUUGGGGUGAAGUCGUAACAAGGUACC